CCUACGGGAGGCUGCAGUGGGGAAUAUUGGACAAUGGGCGAAAGCCUGAUCCAGCCAUGCCGCGUGUGUGAAGAAGGCCUUCGGGUUGUAAAGCACUUUCAGUGGGGAAGAAAGCCUUGGGGCUAAUACCCUCGAGGAAGGACAUCACCCACAGAAGAAGCACCGGCUCACUCCGUGCCAGCAGCCGCGGUAAUACGGAGGGUGCGAGCGUUAAUCGGAAUUACUGGGCGUAAAGCGCGCGUAGGCGGUCUGAUAAGCCGGUUGUGAAAGCCCCGGGCUCAACCUGGGAACGGCAUCCGGAACUGUCAGGCUAGAGUGCAGGAGAGGAAGGUAGAAUUCCCGGUGUAGCGGUGAAAUGCGGAGAGAUCGGGAGGAAUACCAGUGGCGAGGGCGGCCUUCUGGACUGACACUGACGCUGAGGUGCGAAAGCGUGGGUAGCAAACAGGAUUAGAUACCCUUGUAGUC
rnacentral:rRNA from 1 species